CAGGAACGUUUCACCCGUCUUGCAGACAUUACAGAACAUCGGAGAUAAAGAAAUGCGGAAGCUAUUACAUAAACUUACAUUUAUUUAGAAAGUAAGAUCAAGUUACUUAUUACAGACCAGAGCUAUAAAACGAGUGCUGAGUAGUACACAUUUCAAGGGAGGCAAAAACUCCUCCCGAUAGCUUUAAACAAAAAGUCCUAUAUGGAGGACCACAUCCUCCCGCAUCUUCACUCUUGUUUUUCUUCAUUUGAUACCACCUUGGAGCAAAAGCAACAAAAAUUUGUCGCUUCCUCACCUAAAAACAACAAAGGGAUAAACCCUGAGUAUGGAAUUACUCAGCAAGUCUUACCCGACUAAGAAAAAGACUCUCAAGGGUAUGCUGGAUAAAUAGGAGUCAAGGAGAGGCUUUAGCAAAAAUCAACUUAUACUUUUGCAGAAGUAGCUUACUAAAGUGAGUCCUUACUUUCAAUCUUUUAACGCCAUAUUAAGUAUUAAUAGACUCUAUUUGCAUCUAGUCUAAUUUCACAUCACAUCAAGACAACAUCGUUUUUAUCCAUCGUGUUCACCUCCUGACUUAGGUUGUAGGUCGGAGCUCAAGUCUCCACUGUCCGGGGAUAUAACGGCGAUCCGAAUCGAUUUACUCAGCUGAGGAUUUCUAACCACACGACAUAUGUUUCUCGUAAACCUUGAUGUCUACUAUUCCCACGGAUCCUCCACUGCAUGAACAGGUCCGCGCCACCCGAGAGUACACCACCCCUUUUAGGCGAUCCGUUGCCAGGAGGGUACGUGCCACUCUCGCCAUCUCUCCACGCCCAGUGCGCGAUUGUCUUUUCAUGUAUGGAAUAGCCGGGUUCAAGCUUACCCUGUCCCAUUCUCAGGGCAUGUGGCUAGAUAAGAUAGUCCUUGAUCAACAGGCCUACAUACGCAUCCAAUCCUUAAUUGACUCGGGCGGAGCAUCACCUGUUCCUAGCCCAAGUCUCGAUUUAAGUAUUUCCAUCCUUAGGAUUGUGUCUGUUCCUUAGGAUGAAAGAGCAUCACAGGGAACUUUGCAGUAAGAUCCCACUAUUGCUCCAAAUGAAAAUAUUCUUGCAGGUAGAGGCCAUCCUUUCUCGAGUUAAAUUAAGGACAACCUCUAUCCACAAGAUCUAAGCAAGGCUAAGCAUUUUUGUAAAUCAUAUUUUGAUACUUCACAGAAGUAUCUAUAAAGGUAUGGAUAUCAAGGAAAGCAAUGCAUCAAAGGGUUUCAAGUAAUUCCUAUGAACCUAAUGCACAUUUCACUAGACUUAAGUGUGCGAAAAGUAUUUAAAAACACAAGGAAAGGGGUUGCAUGCACCGGGGCUUGCCUUUGUUUGUAGGUGAGUCAGGCUCGGACUCGCAGAUGUCGAAGUAGAGCCAAGUCUCUGCCUGAGAUUCCAAAGGUGGUGAUGUCUUUUCUUCAGUCACUUCACCCUCUUCUCCGUUUUCUAAAUAUAACCAUAUAGGUAUAUAUAUAAGAAUGAAUGCCAUGUAAUGCAAACUAUCACAAAGAGGUGGAGAACAGAAACACUACAACUAAAGCACAUGACAAGAAUACACCUAUUUCUUAUCGCUCGAUUAAAGUGACCAAUUUGAAUUCACUUAGGUAAACCAGGGAAUUAAUCCAACUUAUAUCUCAUCCAAAAGCUUAAAACUUCUUAAGCAACUUUAUCUCUUCCCUAGAUAAACUUAUCUCCCUUCCAAAGCACUAACCCACACUUGAUUAGGGAUUAACCACUCUAUUUUGGGGCUUACAAGAUUUCUAGAGCAAAAAGCUUCCAAACAGCCCCAAACUUUUACCAAGUGAUCAGCUUCUGAUAACAAGUUUCUCCAAAAAUUUCCAUAAUUUUUGGUGCUCAAUUCUUAUUUCUAAAAUAUUAAUAGUCCUUUAAGAGCACCCUUAAUUCACUUAAUAUUUACUGACAGCUCUAAAAAUCCUACAACCAACUUCACUUAGAGAGAUCUUGAUUUAACACAUCCAACCCGGCUUCACAACCAACUUCAGAAGAACUCGAACCAGAUGCCCGUCGCGCUACUCCGGCGACCUGGCGCCCACAACGGCAGUGGGGCUGACCCUCUGCGCUCACUGACCAUUACUACAUGUGCCCAUAACUAGCAGUAAUAGACUACAACCUUUUGCUGCACGAGCCAAACACCUGCCUUCACUAGCCACGACACCUGUGAAGCAUCGUCUCGGCAAGCCUGAUCCCGAGGCCACCAUACAGUAGAGCCUUAAUCAAACGUGCAGAGAGUAUCACUAGUUUACCUGAAUCUUGGUGCCCAAGCAAAAUAGCUCGAGAAAACGUGGUUCGUCCGGUCGAUGAUGGGGUAGUUCUUGAUAGUGCUCCGCAACGUUGCGAACGCGUUAAGCCUGCAAACUUCUGAGGUGGUCCGGCCAUGGCGAUGUGGUGAGACGGUGGCACAGUCACCAGACAAGGAGAAGAUAACGCGCGACGGACUUAGGCAAAACGAAUGGCGAAACCAGGACCAUUGCUGAUUGUGAGGGCAUGAGCGAGAGAGACCCACAGCGAGCCUAGCCUAGUGAGCACAAGGUUGCGAAAGGCUUCAUUAAGCCGAGCAAUAUGGCACCGGAGAAAACAAAGGCCACUAGCUGCAUGCCCAUAUAGCGACGAGGAACCCUCUCGAGGGUGCCAGCUCUAAGCAAAACAAGGCACGUGGCCGCAAUGCAACGGCGCAUGGAUAACUGAAUUUCAGCAAAGCGGCAAAUUUUGGAUAACCAUCGCAUUCACCAAUCAGGACUGGAAGCACUGAACUCACUCGGCCUUACGUACCAUCCAUUCAAACCUCAACUUGCCUAAUGCACGUGGGGCACAGCAGGCGUGGAAAUCCUUCUGCUCCCAAGGACUAACCCAAGCUUCGGUCACCAGAAACUGAGCUCAAUUUUCAGCCAUCGAUGCCACGUACACCUCUGCGUGUCCCUCCAACCUUAUGGCCAUGCACAGCUCGGCACUCAACUAUAGGAAGUAAACAAGCAGCAGUAGGCGACAUGCAAAUGGAGCAUGCCGACCCCUUCGUCUCUGUCCAAACUGAAGCAACGUUUGGUUACACAGAAUGCGUGGCCACGACUUGGAGCAAAGCUUUCUCCCAAUUAUCAGUGGUCAUAGGUCGACCUUGGUUCACAAAGUUUGUUCACAAAACCAAGCUCAACAAGUUUUCUGCAAUAGCCCUAGGCCAAAGACUCACAUUCAAAAGUUAUGCGGCUUCAAAGGGGCAAAAAUACUGAAAUUCACUUUUCAGUUAACAUGUCUUUGAGCAAAACCUGACAGUCCAUCUUUAAACGAGAUUUACUCCAACACCAGUGCAGCAACCUACAACUGGCUUGUACCAAGAUUGCUCACUGAUACUCAGUCUUCAACUUUGUUUUAAUGGUUACUAGGAAAAGCUCAACUGACCUCAAGUUAUCGAGCACCAAAUUUAGGGCAGCACCAGCGAACUCAACAAUUCAGCCUAGCUGAAUUUGGUUCAGCACACCAAUGUCUGACAGAGCGACUUGGAGUAGCAUUUUCUCCCCUUUCUAAACAAGAUCAAGGAGAUAAACCUUAAUGGAAAUUAUUCAACACACUGCCCUAUAACACUUUGAUAUGGAUAGUGCAGGCCAUAACGUUAUAAGUUUAUCACAACAGAGAUCUGAAGUUUGCAAAAAAACGUUGAAACUGCACUUCAAUUUCUGAAUCAAGGUCCAGAAAUCACAAGUCUGACAGCUCCACCUUGAACCACCUUUUCUCCAAGUUGUAUAUAGCUCCAGGGCUGUGACACUCAAUAACAGUUGUUCUCUUAUACUUAUUCUACAAGUUUUCUAUAGUGAUCAUUAACCAAAACCUAUUGGAUUCCAAACUACAAUAGUCCAAAGUUUGCUCCAAUUGCUGAAAUUUAUGACUCUGAAUUCUACCAAGUCUGAAAUCGAGAAACUCAGUUAGCUCUACUUUGGACCAGUUUUUCUCUAAGUUCCAAAUAGCUUUAGGGCUAUAACCAUUAACCAAACUUAUACAUCAACUGUGGUCUUUCACUUUAGUACAGAAACUUUAACCAAUCAUUGUAUAGAUCAGCCACCAACAGGCUCCAAGGUUUCUUCAGAAUACAAAAACUGCAGUGCUGAAUUGUGCACUAAAUCUGAAAUUUAGAUUCUAAUAUUCCCAAUUUGGACCAGUUUUACACCUAGUUCCAUAUGGCUUUAACGUUAAGUAACUUAAACAAGUUUGUUCACCUAGGAUAGCUCUACAACUUAGCUACAGAGACCAUCUCCAAACUGCUUAUAAAUCAAAAGUUACAAUGGUCCAAAGUUGACUAGUUUAUAUUAUUUUCAGCACUUCCAAAAUGAACCCAAAACUGAAUUUUUGUACUUAACUCCAAAUUCUUCCACACAACUUGGGAAUCUCCAAAUAAGAAAGUUAUUCACUUUUCCAAGCUCUACCAUUUUGGUAUAUGGACUUUUAGCUAGAUCCUUCUAGAUCUUGAAUUCCCCUUUUGGGCUAGUUUUAGGGUUUCGAAUGAGUUUCAUUUGUAUUUCAGCUUCUUCCAGGGAUUCAUCCCUUUGAUCCCUCCACCUAGAGAAAAGUUACUCUCUAGCUCAAGAUCCAAUCUUUGAUACACAUAGCUCAUAUCCAAAAUCUCCUGGUUUAGAAUUUCCUUUACUUAAUCAUCUAUUCCAAGCAGAGCUCAAGUUAAGGUUUGGAGUUAUUCCAGCUUCUUAAGUGCUUCUUCCACUUGACCAUCGUUCCAAAACAAGGCUACUCUAGGCUCUAAGACUUACCUUUAACAUUUAAGACUCCAAAUCAACUUGUUACUUGCUUAAGAGGCGACCUACUCUUGUCUAGCUUAAGCCAAGUCCUUAACCCAACACAGAAUAUCACACUUUUUGAAAAAGUUUAACCUAGUGAAUGCAUUCUAAGUGUAACAAGCACAUUAAUGCAGAUGCUUAUGAUGACAUGUCAGAGUUUUAGUUUACGUAACACCAGGGGUGUUACAGCCUUCCCCCCUAAAAGAAAUCUCGUCCCGAGAUUUAAAAGUCUAGGCUCAGUAACGAAAAAGGAAUUGUGUCACAAACUUAUUUCCCAAUUUCUCCUACCAAACAGGGGGUGUGCCACUGUUGGUUUAAAAUUCACAAACCCUAAGGUUUUCCAAAAACUCAAAACUUAGGGCAAGGGCUUUGUCUUCUAAAUAUCCCUCUGACCAUCUACAUGGCUUCAUCUUCUGUGGGGUAGUUCCACUAUACUCCGUAAAACUUGAUAUCUUUCUGUGUUUUAUUCAAGAUAUUGCAUCUAAUUUGGGUAAAGUCUAUCCAUUUGUCCAAACUCACAUGGGAAAUUAGGUGAUACCAUUUCAUCACGAAACAUAAUUAGAAAUUAUGGUCUCAGCGUGUGCUAAGUCAUUUAUCCGCACACGUGCAUCCGCAUGGAAUAUCCAAAGGAAUAGCCACCAUAACUCUUGAAGUUUGACAAACUACUAUAGAUAUUAAAAGUUGCCUCUGAAACAGGCAGUCGUUUCUUACACCAUAGUCAUAGAAAAGCUCACAUGUUACAUGAUCCAGGUGAAACAGGAAUACUCUUUCCAACAAAGUCUAACCUGUUUUUAUUACCAAGCUGGUCUAUCUUACACCUACCUUACUACAUUGAUCUACUUCACUACACUCCCAGUUGCCUAUUACAUCUUCUCUAGCUACACCAUCUGCCAGAUACUUGUUGUCAUUCUUCCAAGGAACCCUUAGUCCGCUGAUGCCGGAGUAGGAUAAAAGGCAACAUUGAGCCUAUGCACUGUUUGCAGCAGAUGGUUGACAAGCCGUUGUGCUACUUGAAAUUCCAUUGGAUGGGCACGAUUCAAUUCCUGGAUCGCCUGAUCCUGAUGGCUUAUGAAGCUUAGGGUUUCCUUAAGGUCUUCGCUAACAGCAAUAGCACCCAAGCGAAUUUCUUCUUGUUGCUGACUCAGAACUUUUGAUUUAGAAUGAGCAUUAGUUAGCUGAUGCUCAAGCUCCUUAAUGCAAUUCUGAUCAGCUUGGUGUUGCGUCUGAAGUUCUGUCACCUGAUGCUCUAAUCCAAUAAUUCGCUCAGCUUGAAUCUUUGUGUCCUCCAGUUGUUCUUGUGCCUGGGUACAAGCCCUAUUCUUGGCCAUUUCCAUCAUCUUAAAUGCUGCAUAACUCCCAGUGUACAACUGCUGCCACAUUUGACGACUGUGCCCUCGAGUAAGCUGCAACUCUAGCACGACCAUCAAUACUCGAGCAGAUGCCGAUUCUACAGAAUCCUGCCCAAUAGGAAUGCUUUCCAAUAAUCGGGCCUGGUGAUGAUACACCAAUGGUUCACUUAAGGCAACUGCAGGGAACAACCUCAUAGAUGUGGCUUGUAUUUCUUCCCAUUUCUGGUAACAAAUGGUUGUUAGCGCCUCUAAGGCAGCUACCUGAGCACCUUCCCAAGGAGUCAUUCCUUCAGCAUGGAACAUACAAUGUGGCCAAGAUGGCUUUCUAGCACAUUCUGGAAUACGCACUACCACCUCAUACCAUGGUUGUCCUCUAAGAACAGUGCGCGACCACUGGUACUUAGGUGCUUCGGUAUAUCCAAAUUCUUGAAGUAGUCGCCACAGGACCACUGGAACACCAAAAUCUCGUAGAAACUCUCCAACUCCGGUAGGGGUUUCUUGUUGAUUCAUCUUCAGAGAAGAGCAACGGAACACUCUACUUACUAAAAAUGUAUGAACAAGGUAGCUACAUAGGGGGUUUAAUUUAAAGUUUGUAUGACAUGAUGCAUGUGUAAAUACAGAAUCAACCUUAGUUGAUUCAUCCUUCUAUACGUUGCACUCUUCCUAUCUGGUCUUUUAAGAUAAACUCUUCAGAAUACUUAGGUAAGAAAGGAAGAAAGUUUCUAGGUAAGAAUUUUAGAAAAUCCUUUUGAAGAUGCCUCAUAAUAUCUGCAGAGAAGGGCUACGCUCCGAUACCAGCUGUGACGGAACCUCCCAAGUAAUUAGGCCCACCUACAGUUGUCCUUGUCCAACGGACCUCAGACAACCCUGUAGGUGUUCCUAAAUCACUUGACAAGCUCGGUAUCUUUCCUUACCUUUCCAGGAACGUUUCACCCGUCUUGCAGACAUUACAGAACAUCGGAGAUAAAGAAAUGCGGAAGCUAUUACAUAAACUUACAUUUAUUUAGAAAGUAAGAUCAAGUUACUUAUUACAGACCAGAGCUAUAAAACGAGUGCUGAGUAGUACACAUUUCAAGGGAGGCAAAAACUCCUCCCGAUAGCUUUAAACAAAAAGUCCUAUAUGGAGGACCACAUCCUCCCGCAUCUUCACUCUUGUUUUUCUUCAUUUGAUACCACCUUGGAGCAAAAGCAACAAAAAUUUGUCGCUUCCUCACCU
rnacentral:lncRNA from 1 species